AUGAUCCCCUCGGAUCCGCACCGCCCCUCUCCCACCCCCAACUCCAAGCCCUUCACACGAACCAGCCCAGCGACGGGGCUUGUCUGUUAAUUAACGGCCCCAAAGCGAAGACAGUGAGAAGCCCCACAACAGUGUCAGGAACAAUGGGGCCCUAAUAGAUGUCAUCUCAGCAUUCUUGAUUCAUGUCUCCUCUCAUUGUAGCUGUGGAGAUUCAUCACAAAGGUGUGGGGAAAUGCCCUUAGCCACUCCAGAUGAUUCAGCCCUGCUGACAUGCUGGAAUUAGCUUCCGGCAUUGAAUGAAACAAUAUUAUUGGAGGACCUGCUGUACAUACUCCUGAAAGCAGAACAGGCACAGAGUGAUGGGACCUGCAAGUGGAGGAGAGCUGGUCACUUUCUAAAUCAACUUCCAAUCCCCGUGCAUCAGGGAGAGUCCCAUCAGAGAAGCAGAGCCCUUACGAGUGGUCUGGGAGGAGACAGUCACCGUAGGGCUGUGGCCUCAGCAGUGUGGGAGCCGGUGGAGCUGUCUGUGCCGGCUGCCGCCCCUGCGUUUAGUGUGAGCUGGAAGGUUCUACGGGUCAGCAGAAAGAAGAGCCGCUGUGGGCGAGAGCAAGGACAAACUGGAAAUUGCAUCUAUCUGUCACCAGCCUCAAUGCAAAAACGACCUGUCGGGGAACGGGUGCUCCUGGCCCAGGACUCGAGAAGCUCAGGGAGAUCCGUCUGGUGGGAGCUCUGAACCUGAGCGUCGCCCCCAUGCCAACGAGGUGGACAGCAGGUCAGCGCCGACGUGCGUGAGUGGCUCUCUGCCUGGCACCGGGCACUGACCUUCAGUGCAGGAAACGAUGGUGGCACCUAGCUGGCGUGGCUUAGUGGUUGAGUGUCAACCAAUGAACCAGGAGGUCACGGUUCCACUCCUGGUCAGGGCACAUGCUGGGCUGCAGGCUCAAUCCCUGGUAAUGGGCGUGCAGGAGUGGAACCGUGACCUCCUGGUGGCUGAAAAAAGAAAAGCGUAGAAUCAGGCCAAGUGGCUGAAAAAACUGCCCAGAGGCCCGCCUGUUCUAGUGGGAGUCAUAAAAAGGUCAGGGCACAUGCUGGGUUGCAGGCUCAAUCCCUGGUAUUGGGCGUGCAGGAG